UACCUCAAAAAACCACAACAGUCUGUUUCAUCCGUAUAGGAAUCAUCAGGUGGUCUGAUGAUUCCACCUGAUGAUUCCUAUACGGAUGAAACAGACUGUUGUGGUUUUU